GUUUGAACAUGGCUCAGAACGUACGCUGGCGGCACGCCUAACACAUGCAAGUCGAACGAAGUAGCAAUACUUAGUGGCAGACGGGUGAGUAACAUGUAGGUAUCUGCCCUUUGGCCUGGAAUAACACGAGGAAACUUGUGCUAAUACCGGAUAAGUCUUUACGGAGAAAGCUUUAUGCACCAUUGGAUGAGCCUGCACUUGAUUAGUUUGUUGGUGGGGUAAUGGCCUACCAAGACUGUGAUCAAUAGCUGAUUUGAGAGGAUGAUCAGCCACAUUGGGACUGAGACACGGCCCAAACUCCUACGGGAGGCAGCAGUGGGGAAUCUUGCACAAUGGAGGAAACUCUGAUGCAGCGAUGCCGCGUGAGUGAAGAAGGCCCUUGGGUUGUAAAGCUCUUUCGUCGGGGAAGAAAAUGACUGUACCCGAAUAAGAAGGUCCGGCUAACUUCGUGCCAGCAGCCGCGGUAAUACGAAGGGACCUAGCGUAGUUCGGAAUUACUGGGCUUAAAGAGUUCGUAGGUGGUUGAAAAAGUUAGUGGUGAAAUCCCAGAGCUUAACUCUGGAACUGCCAUUAAAACUUUUCAGCUAGAGUAUGAUAGAGGAAAGCAGAAUUUCUAGUGUAGAGGUGAAAUUCGUAGAUAUUAGAAAGAAUACCAAUUGCGAAGGCAGCUUUCUGGAUCAUUACUGACACUGAGGAACGAAAGCAUGGGUAGCGAAGAGGAUUAGAUACCCUCGUAGUCCAUGCCGUAAACGAUGUGUGUUAGACGUUGGAAAUUUAUUUUCAGUGUCGCAGGGAAACCGAUAAACACACCGCCUGGGGAGUACGACCGCAAGGUUAAAACUCAAAUGAAUUGACGGGGACCCGCACAAGUAGUGGAGCAUGUGGUUUAAUUCGAAGAUACGCGCAGAACCUUACCAACACUUGACAUGUUCGUCGCGACUCUAAGAGAUUAGAGUUUUCGGUUCGGCCGGACGAAACACAGGUGCUGCAUGGCUGUCGUCAGCUCGUGUCGUGAGAUGUUGGGUUAAGUCCCGCAACGAGCGCAACCCUCACUUUUAGUUGCCAUCAUUAAGUUGGGCACUCUGAAAGAACUGCCAGUGAUAAGCUGGAGGAAGGUGGGGAUGACGUCAAGUCCUCAUGGCCCUUACGUGUUGGGCUACACACGUGCUACAAUGGUAUCUACAACAGGAAGCAAGACUGCGAAGUUAAGCAAAUCCCUAAAAGAUACCUCAGUUCGGAUUGCACUCUGCAACUCGAGUGCAUGAAGCUGGAAUUACUAGUAAUCGUGGAUCAGCGUGCCACGGUGAAUGCGUUCCCGGGUCUUGUACACACCGCCCGUCACACCAUGGGAGUUGGUUCUACCUUAAGGCAAGGU
rnacentral:rRNA from 1 species